AGUCGAGCGGCAGCGACAACAUUGAACCUUCGGGGGAUUUGUUGGGCGGCGAGCGGCGGACGGGUGAGUAAUGCCUAGGAAAUUGCCCUGAUGUGGGGGAUAACCAUUGGAAACGAUGGCUAAUACCGCAUGAUGCCUUCGGGCCAAAGAGGGGGACCUUCGGGCCUCUCGCGUCAGGAUAUGCCUAGGUGGGAUUAGCUAGUUGGUGAGGUAAGGGCUCACCAAGGCGACGAUCCCUAGCUGGUCUGAGAGGAUGAUCAGCCACACUGGAACUGAGACACGGUCCAGACUCCUACGGGAGGCAGCAGUGGGGAAUAUUGCACAAUGGGCGCAAGCCUGAUGCAGCCAUGCCGCGUGUGUGAAGAAGGCCUUCGGGUUGUAAAGCACUUUCAGUCGUGAGGAAGGUAGUGUGUUUAAUAGAUGCAUUAUUUGACGUUAGCGACAGAAGAAGCACCGGCUAACUCCGUGCCAGCAGCCGCGGUAAUACGGAGGGUGCGAGCGUUAAUCGGAAUUACUGGGCGUAAAGCGCAUGCAGGUGGUUUGUUAAGUCAGAUGUGAAAGCCCGGGGCUCAACCUCGGAAUAGCAUUUGAAACUGGCAGACUAGAGUACUGUAGAGGGGGGUAGAAUUUCAGGUGUAGCGGUGAAAUGCGUAGAGAUCUGAAGGAAUACCGGUGGCGAAGGCGGCCCCCUGGACAGAUACUGACACUCAGAUGCGAAAGCGUGGGGAGCAAACAGGAUUAGAUACCCUGGUAGUCCACGCCGUAAACGAUGUCUACUUGGAGGUUGUGGCCUUGAGCCGUGGCUUUCGGAGCUAACGCGUUAAGUAGACCGCCUGGGGAGUACGGUCGCAAGAUUAAAACUCAAAUGAAUUGACGGGGGCCCGCACAAGCGGUGGAGCAUGUGGUUUAAUUCGAUGCAACGCGAAGAACCUUACCUACUCUUGACAUCCAGAGAAUCCUGCGGAGACGCGGGAGUGCCUUCGGGAACUCUGAGACAGGUGCUGCAUGGCUGUCGUCAGCUCGUGUUGUGAAAUGUUGGGUUAAGUCCCGCAACGAGCGCAACCCUUAUCCUUGUUUGCCAGCGAGUAAUGUCGGGAACUCCAGGGAGACUGCCGGUGAUAAACCGGAGGAAGGUGGGGACGACGUCAAGUCAUCAUGGCCCUUACGAGUAGGGCUACACACGUGCUACAAUGGCGCAUACAGAGGGCAGCCAACUUGCGAAAGUGAGCGAAUCCCAAAAAGUGCGUCGUAGUCCGGAUUGGAGUCUGCAACUCGACUCCAUGAAGUCGGAAUCGCUAGUAAUCGUGGAUCAGAAUGCCACGGUGAAUACGUUCCCGGGCCUUGUACACACCGCCCGUCACACCAUGGGAGUGGGCUGCAAAAGAAGUA
rnacentral:rRNA from 1 species